GGAAGAGCGCGGGCGUGAUUUGUCCUGCGCGGCCAGGUACGGCGUUGCCCAGGGCGGGCCGGAGACCGGGCUGCGGCUGUCCUCAGAUGCACCAGCCGGCACCCGGCGGACUCGCGCCCGCCCGUCGCUUUCAAGACUCCCCGGUUUCGUUAAGAGGCGGUCUCCGGGUGAGGACGGGCGCUUGCGGCCGGUGUCUGUCAGUGCCCUGGCCUCUGCGAUACAGACCAACAGCUAAGGGGGUGGUGGGAAGGGCGCGGGGCCGUCGCCUCUGGCUUAACAGAGCAGAUGCGCAGGGAGUCCAACAGGUGGCUCCGUGGCGCAAUGGAUAGCGCAUUGGACUUCUAGAGGCUGAAGGCAUUCAAAGGUUCCGGGUUCGAGUCCCGGCGGAGUCGCAGUUUUUCCCCCAAGAAAGCCUGGCUCUAGAAGGCCCCAAGUCUAAUUUCCCACCUCGUUUGGAAGAGAGGAUGAGAGGCGUGCCCUCUAAUAGGGCAAAAGUGACUGACUGCAGAUCGUUUCUGACCUGUUAAUACAGCAACUUUAUUCAUUUGUAAAACUACAGCCCGGAAAGAUGACUGCCUACAACAUAGAGGAUGGACCAAAAGGGAGAGCAGACCUGGAGGCAAAGGACUAUUACAGUAAUCCAUGAGUGACAUGAAAGGUAGCCAAGAAGAACGAAAUGAACUUAAGAGCUACCAGAGGGUGAAUCAAUUGGACUUUCAUCUGAAAAUACU